AACGACUCUCGACAACGGAUAUCUCGGCUCUCGCAUCGAUGAAGAACGUAGCGAAAUGCGAUACUUGGUGUGAAUUGCAGGAUCCCGCGAACCACUGAGUCUUUGAACGCAAGUUGCGCCCGGAGCCUUCUGGCCGAGGGCACGUCUGCCUGGGCGUCACGC
rnacentral:rRNA from 1 species